ensembl:lncRNA
GAGAAACCUGCCGCCGCUCGCCGCCUCUUUGUCUGCUCUGGGACUUGGAACAAAAGGGGGAACUCUGAUGAACUCUCUCUCCGCCCCUCUCCCCCGGACGCGCGGGUAUCUCCCUCUCGCAACUUUGCCGCCGCGACUUUCUCCGCUGUCAGGCCACACAAAAGUGUCCGAACGCCUCGAGGACCGCGACAAGGGAAGUGUCUCUUCAAAGUGCGACCAAGUGGGGAAGAAGGUGUGAUUACUGUGGUCAGCAUCUAGAAAACAGAAGCACUCCCGCCUCCUCUGUGCUACAUCCUUCUUACUGGAUCUUUCUAUCAGUGAACAUUGUGGAAGUACCAUUACUACAUCGUCAUUCCUGAAGGAAAAGUUGCCAAACUUUUUUCUUUGGAGUUGCUUCAAAGUUGUUGGGAUUUUUGAUGAUGCCUCCCCUAUGUGGAUUACUACUGUUUGAACACUGGGAAUUCUCCAUCUUAAAGAAGAUGCUUUUGCUAUCUGGAAACUUAUGCCCACGUCUGUGACUGCGGGUCAGAAUUGCUUUCCUCACAUUCUGAUUGGGAGAGUUGUUAAACAUUGGAAUGUCCUUCUGAGCUGGGCUGUGGAAUGUCAUCGCUCCCAGGUGACUACAGAAGCCUCGACACCCAGCGUGGUCAGAUUAGAAAACUGAGGUGUUGGAGGCGUGACUUCCUCGUGGUCACACAGAGUGCUGGAGCGACCAUCCGUCGUGAUUAUCUGUGCGUGCUCCACUGUCCUAGUUGGUGCCCUGUGCUUGCAUCUGUCAACAUCAGGAGCUGUGGAAUCCGAGUGCGGCUGCCAAGAGGAAUCCAGAAAAGCCAAAGAGCCCAAGCAUGUCAGACCUUCCUGUAGCCACACACACACACACCUCAAACCCCAAGGAAGUGAGUGAGAAUCACAGGCAGGGAGACAGCCAACCAGGUGAGCAACCACAUCAGUCUGAGGGCUAAAGCAACAGGAAAGGGUUUUUGGCAGUUCUGUUCGUUUGGCAACAUGAGGAUUUGACCUGAGCUUACACCAAAUUACCUCACGGCAAAUGAUUUUCUGCCGAGCACUACAGACGUUAGGCUGACUCCACUGAGCUCUUGGGCUGAAGACAGAUGAAUAUAUCCAAGAUGACGACUUAGUUUCAGGUGUGAUGGGGGGGAUUGCUUCUCCUCGUUCAGGAAGAGGUUAAAUCCCAACUUUUUUUUCCACCUUUAGGGGAGGUUCUUCUGUUCAGAGCCAAUAGGGGAGCUUUGGGUUUGGGUCUUGAGUUUGGUUUUGAGCCUUCUGGUUUGGCUCUGUAUGGGUGUGGGUGUGUUUGUGCUUGUGGGUGGGGUGUGUGUAUGUGUAUUUGUGUAUUUCCACAUAGAUGGCUAAGACUGUUCUUCCUUUUUAUAAAUAUAAAUCUCUCUCUCUCUCUCUUUUUUUUUUUUUUCUAUUUGGGUCCAUAUGUUUUGAAGCUACCUCCUAGAUGAAUUGAAUUAGACUAUGCUAUUUUUAUUUACUUUUUAAUGUUUUUAGUAAUGAAAUCACUGGUUGGAACCUUAUGCAGUUUGGUGCUAUAAUAGGAUUUGCCAGGGUUCCAUUGUACUCUAAAUUAGUUUUAAAUUUCUGCCCCUUGCCUUCCUUUUCAUUUAUGUUAAAUGUUACUAUUAUGUGAAGAGAAGGGAUUUUAAUGAUAGUAAGAAGGUAUUUAGAGACUCCUGCUCUACUGCUCG